rnacentral:tRNA from 1 species
GGAUGGAUGUCUGAGUGGUUGAUAGUGCUGGUCUUGAAAACCGGUGUGUUUGAAGAAAACACCAUGGGUUCGAAUCCCAUUCCAUCCU